rnacentral:tRNA from 1 species
GGCGGAGUCAGCUAAAUAAGCUUUCGGGCCCAUACCCCGCGCAUGAUGGUUAAAAUCCCUCCUCCACCA